UAACUGAUCGAAUCUCUUUUUGAGAUAAAUCAUUCAAGUUUCUGCCCUAUCAGCUUUCGAUGGUAGUGUAUUGGACUACCAUGGCAGUAACGGGUAACGAAGAAUUAGGGUUCGAUUUCGGAGAGGGAGCAUGAGAAACGGCUACCACAUCUAAGGAAGGCAGCAGGCGCGUAAAUUACCCAAUCCUGACUCAGGGAGGUAGUGACAAGAAAUAGCAAACCGGGAACCUCAUGGUUUCACGGUAUUGCAAUGAGAACAAUUUAAAACCCUUAGCGAGAAUCAAGUGGAGGACAAGUCUGGUGCCAGCACCCGCGGUAAUUCCAGCUCCACUAGCGUAUAUUAAAGUUGUUGCAGUUAAAAAGCUCGUAGUUGAACCUCUGUCUGGGGCUAGUUUUGGCUUUGGUCAGGCUAGUUCUAGGCAUCCGCCUACAAGACUUAGAGGGCAUUCAGUUGUUCACUAGGAGGAGUAGGCAUUUUACUUUGAAAAAAUUAGAGUGUUUAAGGCAGGCAAUCGCCCGCAUAUAUUAGCAUGGAAUAAUAGAAUAGGACACUUUUCCAUUUCGUUGGUUAUUGGAAUCGUGUAAUGAUUAAUAGGGACAGUUGUGGGCAUUUGUAUUUAAUUGUCAGAGGUGAAAUUCUUGGAUUUAUUAAAGACAAACUAACGCGAAAGCAUUUGCCAAGGAUGUUUUCAUUAAUCAAGAACGAAAGUUAGGGGAUCAAAGACGAUCAGAUACCGUCCUAGUCUAAACUAUAAACUAUUCCGACUCAAUGCUUGACUGGCUUAUAUAACCAGUUGAGCGUUGUAUGAGAAAUCAAAGUCUUUAGGUUCUGGGGGGAGUAUGGUUGCAAAGCUGAAACUUAAAGGAAUUGACGGAAGAGCACAACCAGGAGUGGAUUCUGCGGCUUAAUUUGACUCAACACGGGGAAACUUACCAGGUUAAAACAAUAGUGGGAUUGACAGUUUGAGAGCGCUUUCUUGAUUGGUUGGGUGGUGGUGCAUGGCCGUUCUUAGUUGGUGGAGUGAUUUGUCUGCUUAAUUGCGUUAACGAACGAGACCUUAACCUGCUUACUAGACUGGCGAUCAUCAAUCGUUAGCUCUUCUUAGAGGGACUUUGGUUGUUUUAACUCCAAGGAAGUUCGAGGCAAUAACAGGUCUGUGAUGCCCUUAGAUAUCCUGGGCCGCACGCGUCAUACAAUGACCAGUUCAGAAAGUUUUCUCCUGACCCGAAAGGGGAUGGGUAAUCUUGAUAAUACUAGUCGUGUUAGGGAUCGAUCUUUGCAAUUAUAGAUCUUGAACGAGGAAUUCCUAGUAAGUGCGGUUCAUCAGACCGUACUGAUUACGUCCCUGCUCUUUGUACACACCGCCCGUCGCUUCUAC
rnacentral:rRNA from 1 species